GGUAAAAUACGGAGACAAGUGAGUAAUGGAUUAUGCGUCUAAUUCUUUUGCUUUUCGUAAAAUUUUUGAUUCAAAGCAGAGCUUCUGACCUUUCUGUUGCAGGAGGACGGACAUGCAUACACGUACAAGUCGUUGUUGUGUGGCAAGAACACGAGCGUGCAUUUUUUCGGUUGCCGGUUUUGUUUUACUUGGCGAGAAUAAUUGGUUGGUUGGACGCGUUAGGCUGACGGCUACACAGUCGGCAAUUACAAACGGUUAAUGAAAGUUUCAUUUCGUAGAAAAAGCUGAAGUUUUAAAGAAAAAAACAAAGUCACAAAACUCACUCGGUAUACCGUGUUUUGUUGGCUGAGCGGGAUGUGUUGCGCGAUUCAGUAUGUCGUUAAAUAGCGUUGUAUUGUGUGUGUGCCGCAGCCGACAACGAGUGUCGUGAGUCGUUGAAACGGAUUUUCUGUGCUUACUCGGUAGCACUCAAAUAUCCUGCCAGUUAUUUAAGCUAUGUGUUGGUGGGUGAAUAUACUUGUAUGUUAUUUUUUCUUGUAGCAAGCAAUUAAAUAUAAUUUUACGCUUAUAUAAAGCGCGUUGUUGUCUUGUCAGGUGUACAGAAAUGUUUUUUUAAGUGCUUUGUGUAAGUGCAGUUGAUUUUUUUUUAGAAAAAUUUGCACUUCUGGCAUAAAGUUUGUGCAAACGUCAAUUUUUAGUAAAGCAAAUGGAAAGAAUUAAUAAAUUGAAAAAAUUCGCUAUUAUUGUGCCAAAUCAAGAUUUUUGGGUUAACGGGCUUUACAUCCUUCUUAGUGCCUGGAUAUCCUACCACUUUGCAUGUGACGUUGCAAUCUGCUGAUGAAGUGACAAAAUAAAUCUGAAACGCAAGAUUUAUUUAAUGGAAUGAUUUAACGGUAUAAAGGAGUUGAAAAUAAGUGUAUAAUGACUCCUUUGGCGCCGCGAUGUGAAGGUGCCGUUGGAAAGAGGAAGUCUUCUUGAUUAAAAUAUAUACCGGAUUAUAGGUACCGCAAACGCUUAGAUUAUUCGACUUAAAGGUCAUUAACGUCAAAUGUUGUCAAUUACGUUUGCUUGCAUAUUUGGCAAAGCACGGACAUAUGAAAUGACAACCAAAUCAAAAUAAUAAAACUUCGAUUUAUGGCAAUAUUAGACAUUUAAAUUUGAUUUGCCGCAAUGCUGGCAUUUGGUUUUGUUUGCCGUUCGAAAACUGCUAAAAAGGAUAACGUAUUUUCAAAAAGUUUUUUGACGAUUUCGAGUUUCAGCAUCUAGUUCAAGAAGUUGAAUCCAGGGAAGGAUCAUGGAAGUUCAUUUCCACUGGAUAUAGGGACAGAACCCUUCGAGAAGCUCAGUAACAUGAGGUGGCUGAAAUAUGAAUGGAACAACUCUAGCUACUCUUUAUACAUAAGUUCUUGUAAAGUAUUACAAAAAAAAAUUUUUAACAAACAUUUCUUCCAGGUGGCCUUUAAUUGUAUAAGUCUCACAAGAAGUGAAAAAGGAAGAACGUCCACGGUGAGGCCACUCUAUAUAUCAUUGAAGUUUCUAGAGCCGACUUUGCGUGCUGAAGCGAACUCCACUUCAAAUCUAAUAAAUGUCAGUCUAUCGGCCUCGAGCUCUCCAACAACAUUGUUGAAGUCAGAAAUUAGUCGGAUAUACCAUUAACGUCAUCCAGAUCACAUAGUAAUUGAGAAAGACGUCGAGUGCAAAAAUUCAGUGAUGAGUAUACUCAACUAGUUGAACGUGCACUAGAGUCCCUCACAUCAGCAACUAAAACUGAUGGUUGGGAUGAAUUAGGCAAGAAUAUCCACAAUAAGCAAAGGAGUUCAAGCAAGUUGAAUUGAUAUUCAUCUACUAAAAGAAAUUACCAAGCUCCACAUCAUGGCGUUCAAAUUCGCAAUACGUUUUUUCUACGCUAGUCAAAUGUAAUGUUCCUUAUCUUUUUUACAUUUCUUUCAA